GAUGAACGCUGGCGGCGUGCCUAAUACAUGCAAGUCGAGCGAACAGACGAGGAGCUUGCUCCUCUGACGUUAGCGGCGGACGGGUGAGUAACACGUGGAUAACCUACCUAUAAGACUGGGAUAACUUCGGGAAACCGGAGCUAAUACCGGAUAAUAUAUUGAACCGCAUGGUUCAAUAGUGAAAGACGGUUUUGCUGUCACUUAUAGAUGGAUCCGCGCCGCAUUAGCUAGUUGGUAAGGUAACGGCUUACCAAGGCAACGAUGCGUAGCCGACCUGAGAGGGGGAGCGGCCACACUGGAACGGAGACACGGUCCAGACUCCUACGGGAGGCAGCAGUAGGGAAUCUUCCGCAAUGGGCGAAGGCCUGACGGAGCAACGCCGCGUGAGUGAUGAAGGUCUUCGGAUCGUAAAACUCUGUUAUUAGGGAAGAACAAAUGUGUAAGUAACUAUGCACGUCUUGACGGUACCUAAUCAGAAAGCCACGGCUAACUACGUG
rnacentral:rRNA from 1 species